rnacentral:rRNA from 1 species
AGUGAACGCUGGCGGUAGGCCUAACACAUGCAAGUCGAACGGCAGCACAGUAAGAGCUUGCUCUUACGGGUGGCGAGUGGCGGACGGGUGAGGAAUACAUCGGAAUCUACUUUUUCGUGGGGGAUAACGUAGGGAAACUUACGCUAAUACCGCAUACGACCUACGGGUGAAAGCAGGGGAUCUUCGGACCUUGCGCGAUUGAAUGAGCCGAUGUCGGAUUAGCUAGUUGGCGGGGUAAAGGCCCACCAAGGCGACGAUCCGUAGCUGGUCUGAGAGGAUGAUCAGCCACACUGGAACUGAGACACGGUCCAGACUCCUACGGGAGGCAGCAGUGGGGAAUAUUGGACAAUGGGCGCAAGCCUGAUCCAGCCAUACCGCGUGGGUGAAGAAGGCCUUCGGGUUGUCAAGCCCUUUUGUUGGGAAAGAAAAGCAGCAGGUUAAUACCCCGCUGUUCUGACGGUACCCAAAGAAUAAGCACCGGCUAACUUCGUG